AUUCAAUUUCCUGGUGACCCUUAGCGCAGUCCCUCUGUCCUGAUGGCUCUAGAUAGAGUUAGAGAGCCACUGGAAGUCAGCUGGAUUUUCUAUGAAAGGUUGGCUGGCUGGAAAAAACAUGGGAUGUAACAUUCUCAAAAUACAGUGGUACCUCGGGUUAAGAACUUAAUUCGUUCUGACUUCCGGGUUGGUCGCCCUUUCAUGGCAGACAGGAGCUCUUUCAGAGCUCUGCGCAUUGAGACUGGGGGUGACGGCAAGAGCGUUGCAGCACCCCGUUAAAAACCUCAGAUCGAGCGUUCUGAGGACCUGGUGUUCCGGUGGGUACCCAUAGCGACUCCCUCGCUUCCCGGUAAGCUCUGUUAGAGCCCUGAAAGUGAGCUGGGUUCGAGACGCGGGUUCUGAGGAAUCAACGCGCUUCCCUCACUGCGUGAAGCUCCUGAGUCCGGCAAUCGUGAGCAGCCAAUUUCCCUGAGUAAACUUUAAUUUGGACAAUCGUGAGUAAAAAGGAUAAUAAUUUGACUAAAAUUUGGAAUGAAAGGGAUUUAAAUUACGGAGGUCGAUCCCUUUCUGCUGGAGAAAAAGUGAAAGCAGUGCUUGUUUACCGAAGACGUAACUUCAAAGAGGCUGUUUUACCUUCUAAGGAAAUAUCUCCAACCCAGCAGGGAGAAAGGGGGGAAAUUUAACUGUUUUGUUACCCUGCUAGAAACUGUUAAAAGAUCAGAAAAGACUCUUGCUUUUUGGAAGUGGACCUCCCAGCGCGGAACUGCCAGACUCCAUUUUUAUGAUACAAAGCGAGAGGAUACAAUUACUUUCAUUUUCCGCUCUGGGUAAUACAAAGUUUCUGCUGCUGUCUGAACUUGUUUAAGCUAUUCAUAAGGCUGUUUUACCCUCAACGCUUUGAAUAUAACUGUCUCAACAACAUUAAGGGUUUCCAAUUUAGAAAUUAGAAGCCAAGGCUUAAAGAAUAAGACUGGGUUUGGUGUUCAGGGACGGUCUGGGCUGCCAGCUGGUGUUUGUGUCCAAAAUCCUGUGACUGAGACUGAUUAACUUGACCUUGAAUUAUAAAUAGCCAUGCAUGGGGCUGACAAGUUGAAUAAACCAGAGAGUAAAACUAGAAGAGGUUCCAAAUUUUGAAGAAACUGUGAUGACUUUACUAACUGAAAUAAAAUCAGAGGUUACUGAAAAUAAGCAGACGUUGAAGGAACUUCAAAAAGGUUUUGAUGAACUAGGAAAAAAUCAACAAGAAGUGAAACAACAGGUCUCGGAACACGAAACAAGACUUUUAGAAUUGGAAUCAGUGAGAGUUUCUGAUGUGGAACGAUCCCAUCAAGAGGCUCUUAACGCGAUUGCCCAUCUCUAAAAUGUAUAAUUUAUUGUUGGAAUGGCAUACAAAGGGUGAACAAGUUAAAUCUGUUAUGAUUGAUUGGGCAAGAGAUGUGGGUCACAAUAGAAUGAUGGAAUAUUGGGAGAGGUUAUGGAAGAAAGGGGUUAAGUUCACGGCAUGUACUGUAUUAAAAGAAAAUAUUAUGAAAAUGAUGUAUAGAUGGUACUUAACCCUGGUGAAACUAGCAAAAAUCUCCCACACUAAUGAUAACUUACGUUGGAAAUGUAAAGAGAAAGAAGGCACUUUUAAAAUAUGUUGUGGACGUGUUCCAAGGUGAAAGACUUCUGGGAAAAGAUUUAUAAUGAAUUUUAAAAAAUGUUGAAAAAUACAUUUAUUAAGAAGCCAGAAGCCUUUCUACUUGGAAUAACAGGACCAGAAUUGCCCAAGAAGGAUGUUAGACUGUUUUUGUAUGCCACUACAGCAGCAAGACUUUUAUUAGCCAAAAAUUGGAAAUUGCAAGAAAUACCGACAAUAGAAGAAUGGCAGAUGAAGAUGAUGGACUUUUCGGAGCUGGCUGACCUGAGUGGAAGAAUCCGCGACCAGAAAGAGGAGGAAACACAAGAAGAUUGGAAGAAAUUUAAAGAAGAUAUAGUGAGAUAUUGUAAUAUAAGAUAAUUAAGAAAUCCCUAGAAGUAACAGAUUAGGCUAAGGGAUAGAAAAAGAUUGAUAACAAAGAUUAUUAUCAAUUACAAUUGGAAGUAAGGUUAAGAAGUUAGUAAUGAAAGAAGAUACUGAUGUUAUAAAUAUGAAAUUGGGAACUGCUAAAUAUGUAAUAUGAUGAAUUCCAGAUUGGAGGGUGUUGAGGAAGUCUUUUAGCAAUGUAAAUACACCAAGGAAUAAGAAGAAGAAAAAAUUCUUUUAUUUUGUGUGUUUUUAUUGUUGUUAAGUUUUUAUGUUGUGUCAAAUGAAUUUUUUUCUUUUUUGUUUUUGUCUAUGUAUUAUAAGAGAAAACUAAUAAUUUUUUUGGAGGAAAAAAAUAAUAAUUCGUUUUGGAGGUCCAUUCUUAACAUGAAACUGUUCUUAACCUGAAGCACCACUUUAGUUAAUGGGGCCUCUCGCUGUUGCCGCGCCACCGGAGCACGAUUUCUGUUCUCAUCCUGAAGCAAAGAUCUUAACCUGAGGUACUAUUUCUGGGUUAGCGGAGUCUGUAACCUGAAGCAUCUGUAACCUGAAGCUUAUGUAACCCGAGGUACCACUGUAUUAGUUUACCGGAAUAGGGUGGUUUGAGGAAUAAGUUUCUAAAGACAAAUCUGAUACAACAUGUUGGCCAUCUUACGUGAAUAAGAAUGGACAUGGACUACAACAUCCAAUGAGUCAGGCUGCACAGUAGAGGGCAUCCCUUGGAUGUUUUGUGAUAUUUUCCUUUGUAGUACCACAUUGUUGUAGAUAUUGCUCUUGUGGCCUCCAUUGCUCUGCGCUUGCUGUGUUUUCUGGAGUUCAGUAAAUAUAUAAUUGCAAGUUCCUCCCUCUUCUCCUUUCAGUUGAUUCAAAGCCAGUGCCCUCUCCAUCCAUCAUGAAGCAUCUUGUGAUCUUGCUGUCUGUUCUGGCACUCAUGAGCUGUGCAAGGGCCCAAGAUUGCAUACCGAUAUGUACAAAGAGUAUGUAAGUAUGAAAGGGAAAGGAAAUUGUUUCAGAUGCUUGGUGAGGACAUCCUUGUACCUGGAGAGGCAUGGCAGACUGGUGUGUAGCGGAUCAUAAAAUCCGAAACAAAGGAAGACCAGAGUCCCACAAGGAGCACUUCAAAGAGAGUGGAGUCUCAGGAACACAUAAAUGGGCACCCAGUUGGCCUUCUGGAAAUUCCUCAGCAGGGAAAGGGUAGAGAGGCUCUCAUGGUUUUAAAGCUAAGGAAAGGGAGAUAGUGGGGAUUUGUGAAGUCCCAGGAACAUUCCUUGUUUAUGACGUAGGUGUGCUCAAAGCAGGAAGCUAUUCUCCAUUCUCUAUUAUUGUCAUUAUGAUUACUGUUAUUAGUGUGCUCCAUGCUCCCUAACCUGGUACCUUUCAAAUUCUUUGGAUGCUACAACACCUCUGACUGUUGGCCAAGUUGGCUGGACCUGUAGUGUGAAACAUCUGGAGGGCACUUUGUGCAUUCAGGAAGGCUGGUGUCAUUGCACAAUCAACCACUCUGCAUCAAUGAAAGAUUGUGGCUAAUCCACCUGCAAACCUACUAAUUUGAUGGAUGUCAAUUUCACUGUAAGCCUACGUCCACCUCAAAGGACACUCAAUAAAUAAAUAAAUAACUAAAUAAAUAAAGGGCUUAGAUUCAUGGAAUCUAUUUCGUCAUGUCCAUUGAUGCAAAUCCAGACUACUCUGAGGACGGCGAAGAUGGGAUACAGUGCAUUCUUGUUUACUAAGUGUCAUGAAUUCCCCUGAAUAAUUUUAAAGGAUAGUUGCUUCUGCUGAUAUCCAAACAAACAUUCCAGGAAUCAGAGGCAUGGUUCUUGCGGUGGAGGAAGCUGAAUAGCUGUUCAAUCAUUUUAAAUAUGUACUGGCGUGUCAAGGAGUCUUGAUAACAAUGAGCGUAGUUAAUUAAAAAGAAGAUUAAUUGCAAAAAAACCCAGAUUCCAUCUGAGCAUCAAUCACAGCCGUCCAUCUCUAAACCAAAUGUCUCCCUUCUAAGGGUGGGUGGGUGUUUCCUACAGCUGCCGAGAUCUUGGGGAACAGGGGGUCAGCUCCCCCCUACUCUGACAAUGCUCUUCCGUUGUCAUUUCCUCCCUCUGAACUGCUUUCAUUUCUAGUCUCUGUAUUUUGUACUUCGCUGGCACACUAUAAUCCCCUGACUUGCAGUUAACUCUAUCUCUUCCUGCUUGCUUUCUCUAGCUGACUGUAAAUCUUCCCUGGGUGCUGGUUCAUUCAUGACAUGGAGAUUCAUACUCAGAUCUUAAGCUACAUCUCUUUUUACUUCUAGGCCUCCAAAAUGUUUUUGUGAAAAGCGCCAUAGCGUGGAAGCCAAUGAACAGCAUCUGAGCAGAGGAGGUUGGUUUGGACUGGAAGAUUCUGGGGGAUGGAGCAAAAGGAUGAUGAGCUUUUUAGAUAGUCUCUGUGCUUUGGCAGCUUUCCUUUCUCCUCCAAUGAAUUAUUUAAAAGUAAUGAGAUCCGAAUUAUUUAAAAGAAAUGAGAUCCGCACCAUUUAUGGUCUUGAUCAUAGUUCGCUAACAUCUUGUCUUGAGGGCACAUGGGAGAGCAGGGAAAGUUUUUUCAGGCAUUACACAUAAACUAAGGCCAACCACACACAUCAAUCCAUUCCAUGGGCUUCAGCAGAAUUGUCCUUUCGAGUGUGAUUUGGGCAGUGAGAGGGACACCUAGGCUGGCAACUUCCUGGUCAAAUUGGCUUUCGGUUUUGGCUGUUCUGUCCAUGCCAAGUCCUCCUAUUCCUUUAAAUUUAGUGGACAAGAAUUCAGCAGGUGUAACUUUGCUAACAAAGAAGUAUCCAUGAUGGGAAGUUUCCGACCUGCUGAAUGUCUGUCUUUUGCUCAGAUAUUCAACAAGGUGAAUACUGCUCUAGGAAGAUGAGAAGGCAAUCAAUAGAGGACUCGGGAGGAGGUUGUGGGAGGGCAAUAAGGAUGAGCAGAGACCCGAGAAGCAUGUAGUCAUAUCCAACUGAUUUAUAUUCCGAAUAGAGUCACUGGAAUUAAUGUAAGCCAUUUUCUUUCAUUUCAAUGGGCCUACUUGAACUGGCACUAACAUUGUAUACAGGUAAACAACACAGUUUAGCCUUGAGAAAGGAAGAGUGAAAAGGAGAGGAGAGCACUCUUUAGAUCCAUGGAGGGCUGUCAUUUGGAAGAUGGUAAAGAAUCAUACUUUGCUGACCCAGAGGAGAGGAGUGGAUCUUACAGCUUAAGUUAUAAGAGGGCAAAUUUUGGUAGAACUUUAGGAGGCUAUUUCUGAUGGUGAAAUUUGUGUUGUUUUUGGGAGUGAGAGAGCAACUCUGCCCCCCCUUUUUUGAGAAACCACAUGUUGGGUAUGCUUGUAAUGAAAGGGACUGGACUAACUGACUUCCAAAGACCCCCUCAGCUCCCUAAUUCUGUGAUUCCUGCUUUCUUGAGGGCUGAUCUUUCAGAGAAAUGAAUCACAUGCCCUCUACUUUCUACUCACAGAUGCAGAGGCGGCUGUGGCUGAAAAAAUCUGAGAAGCAGAUUGCGAUCAACCCAGAUGCUCAGCAGGUUCACCAAAAGAUCUCAAAGGCACACCUUCACUGCUUGAUACCUCCACUCCAUUCCCGUGUUCCAUUAGCCCUGAUUUUAUGGGCAGUCACCCCAGUUGCCUCUAGGAACCUGUCAA